GAGAUGGAUUGGUGCCUUCGGGAACGUCUGACACAGGUGCUGCAUGGCUGUCGUCAGCUCGUGUCGUGAGAUGUUGGGUUAAGUCCGUAACGAGCGCAACCCUUGUCCUUAGUUACCAGCACGUUAUGGUGGGCACUCUAAGGAGACUGCCGGUGCAAACCGGAGGAAGGUGGGGAUGACGUCAAGUCAUUAUGGCCCUUACGGCCUGGGCUACACACGUGCUACAAUGGUCGGUACAAAGGGUUGCCAAGCCGCGAGGUGGAGCUAAUCCCAUAAAACCGAUCGUAGUCCGGAUCGCAGUCUGCAACUCGACUGCGUGAAGUCGGAAUCGCUAGUAAUCGUGAAUCAGAAUGUCACGGUGAAUACGUUCCCGGGCCUU
rnacentral:rRNA from 1 species